rnacentral:rRNA from 1 species
ACUAGAGUAGCACUCGCAUAUCAAUAAGCGGAGGAAAAGAAACUAACAAGGAUUCCCUUAGUAACGGCGAGUGAAGCGGGAAGAGCUCAAAUUUGAAAUCUUCAAGGUUCUACCUUGACGAAUUGUAGUUUAUAGAAGUGUUUUCUGUUAGAUGAGGUGGUAAAAGUUCUUUGGAAUAGGACAUCAUAGAGGGUGAGAAUCCCGUAUUUGACCGUUACUUUCCAGCUGUGUGACACACUUUCAAAGAGUCGGAUUGUUUGGGAAUGCAGUCCAAAAUGGGUGGUAAAUUACAUCUAAAGCUAAAUAUUGGCGAGGAGACCGAUAGCGAACAAGUACCGUGAGGGAAAGAUGAAAAGAACUCUGAAAAGAGAGUUAAACAGUACGUGAAAUUGUCAAAAGGGAAGCGUUUGACACCAGUGUUGUUUUUCCGAAAAUCAAUUACGAAUGUUUUGUUUUUGAGAGUUAUGACUUCAUCGGCUUGCUUCUCUCUUUACGAAACUUUCUUAAUGCACUUUUCGGUUAACAAGUCAACAUCAAUUUCUUUUGUUGUAAAAGGGUAUGAGGAAGGUGGCUUUCUUUUCGGAGAAAGUGUUUAUAGCCUUGUACCUCUGCAAUCGGAGAGAUUGAGGUCUGCAGCGUAGAUCCUUCGGGGUUAGAUACAUUUGUGCUAAGUUAUAGCUCUUCAUAGACAACUUGUUGACUAUGUUUAGUCUUGUAGCUUACUCGCUUACUGCUAUUUUACCUACGCUUAGGAUGUUGAAGAUGUAGCACAUCAU